rnacentral:rRNA from 1 species
UACACUGCACGCGAGUGCGAUAAGGGGACUCCGAGUGCGAGGGCAUAUAGUCCUCGCUUUUCACGACCGUAAGGUGGUCGUAGAAUAAGUGCUGGGCAAGACCGGUGCCAGCCGCCGCGGUAAUACCGGCAGCACGAGUGAUGACCGCUAUUAUUGGGCCUAAAGCGUCCGUAGCUGGCCACGCAAGUCUAUCGGGAAAUCCGCGCGCUUAACGCGCGGGCGUCCGGUGGAAACUGCGUGGCUUGGGACCGGAAGACCAGAGGGGUACGUCCGGGGUAGGAGUGAAAUCCCGUAAUCCUGGACGGACCACCGGUGGCGAAAGCGCCUCUGGAAGACGGAUCCGACGGUGAGGGACGAAAGCUCGGGUCACGAACCGGAUUAGAUACCCGGGUAGUCCGAGCUGUAAACGAUGUCUGCUAGGUGUGGCACAGGCUACGAGCCUGUGCUGUGCCGUAGGGAAGCGUGAAGCAGACCGCCUGGGAAGUACGUCCGCAAGGAUGAAACUUAAAGGAAUUGGCGGGGGAGCACUACAACCGGAGGAGCCUGCGGUUUAAUUGGACUCAACGCCGGACAUCUCACCAGCAUCGACAAUGUGCAGUGAACGUCAGGUUGAUGACCUUACUGGAGCCAUUGAGAGGAGGUGCAUGCCGCCGUCAGCUCGUACCGUGAGGCGUCCUGUUAAGUCAGGCAACGGCGAGACCCGCACUCCUAAUUGCCAGCAACACCCUUGUGGUGGUUGGGUACAUUAGGAGGACUGCCAGUGCCAAACUGGAGGAAGGAACGGGCAACGGUAGGUCAGUAUGCCCCGAAUGUGCUGGGCGACACGCGGGCUACAAUGGCCGAGACAGUGGGAUGCAACCCCGAAAGGGGACGCUAAUCUCCGAAACUCGGUCGUAGUUCGGAUUGAGGGCUGAAACUCGCCCUCAUGAAGCUGGAUUCGGUAGUAAUCGCGCCUCAGAAGGGCGCGGUGAAUACGUCCCUGCUCCUUGCACACACCGCCCGUCAAAGCACCCGAGUGGGGUCCGGAUGAGGCCGACGCAACGUCGGUCGAAUCGCCCA